CCACAGUCGAGAGCAUGCGCAGUGGGAGCGAUCCAGCUCUUGACCUCAGCUCCACAAAAGCAUGUUGAAGAGGAUUUACAGAGUGCAAAUUCAAACCACAUAACAUACCAAGAUCUGAGUGUGCCACUUUAUUCAUUAUUCAUUCAGCACUGGAUAUUAUUGGCCUUUCAAUGGAAUUGGAAAGGAUAUACAGACAGGCAGCUCAACAGCUGCCAGUAACACUCAAUUCUCAAGAGCUUUGAACGUGGAAGAAAAAAGCAUCGUUCACAGUGAAGAGAAGCCAUACACGUGGUCUGUGUGGACAAGCCUUCAGUCAAUCGUCUGGCCUGUCGAUACGAAAUGCAGUCAAAACAG